rnacentral:rRNA from 1 species
AGUGAACGCUGGCGGUAGGCCUAACACAUGCAAGUCGAACGGCAGCACAGUAAGAGCUUGCUCUUACGGGUGGCGAGUGGCGGACGGGUGAGGAAUACACCGGAAUCUACUUUUUCGCGGGGGAUAACGUAGGGAAACUUACGCUAAUACCGCAUACGACCUACGGGUGAAAGCAGGGGAUCUUCGGACCUUGCGCGAUUGAAUGAGCCGAUGUCGGAUUAGCUAGUUGGCGGGAUAAGGGCCCACCAAGGCGACGAUCCGUAGCUGGUCUGAGAGGAUGAUCAGCCACACUGGAACUGAGACACGGUCCAGACUCCUACGGGAGGCAGCAGUGGGGAAUAUUGGACGAUGGGCGAAAGCCUGAUCCAGCCAUACCGCGUGGGUGAAGAAGGCCUUCGGGUUGUAAAGCCCUUUUGUUGGGAAAGAAAAGCAGCAGGUUAAUACCCCGCUGUUCUGACGGUACCCAAAGAAUAAGCACCGGCUAACUUCGUG